rnacentral:rRNA from 1 species
AACGAACGCUGGCGGCAGGCUUAACACAUGCAAGUCGAACGCCCCGCAAGGGGAGUGGCAGACGGGUGAGUAACGCGUGGGAACAUACCCUUCUCUACGGAAUAGCUCUGGGAAACUGGAAUUAAUACCGUAUACGCCCUACGGGGGAAAGAUUUAUCGGGGAAGGAUUGGCCCGCGUUGGAUUAGCUAGUUGGUGGGGUAAAGGCCUACCAAGGCGACGAUCCAUAGCUGGUCUGAGAGGAUGAUCAGCCACAUUGGGACUGAGACACGGCCCAAACUCCUACGGGAGGCAGCAGUGGGGAAUAUUGGACAAUGGGCGCAAGCCUGAUCCAGCCAUGCCGCGUGAGUGAUGAAGGCCUUAGGGUUGUAAAGCUCUUUCACCGAUGAAGAUAAUGACGGUAGUCGGAGAAGAAGCCCCGGCUAACUUCGUGCCAGCAGCCGCGGUAAUAC